GACGCACCAUAUGGAACCGGUAAGACAUUUUUAAUAUCACAACAGAAAAUCGCAUUGAUAGUUACAUCACCAAGGCAUUGCAGCUACUUUGCUAGAUGUGAGCGGGAUUGGAUUUUUCCCGUAGAAACGAGUCAGCUGAUUGCUCUCUUGUAACGCAGGGUUACCAGUCUCGAUCAUUUGUAGUAAUUAAAAAGUAAACUUGAAUGUAUUUGAAAUAUUCUUAAACUAAAUCAAAUUCACAGUGGAAUAAAAUUAUUUAUAAAUAGGUAGACUAUUUUUAAUAGUUGGUUUACAUUAUGCAAAAGUUUAACUGAAAAGCUAGAUGUGUGCAAAAUCGUGUAUACAAAUUAAACAAUGGCAACAUUGGUCAAAUGAAAACAAAACAGAACAACUAAUUUUUUCGUUGCCACUACGGGCAUAACUUUUGACAAAUUUCGUUUGAUACGGACGGGAUCAUUUUGUGGAUGACGAUAUUAUGAACCUCAAACAAUUUAAUGGACUUAAGCUCCCGCGCUUUAGCUACAAUUCAGGUGCCUGCUAUGGCAACGGUACGCGAAAAGCGCCUUCAACAAAGGGAUCGGUAGCAAACAAUUAAUACUUCUUACGAGAGUAUCAAAUAACCUUGAGCUGAUGAAACAAAAGAAGAGUGAUACUACUUUGUUUGAACAUAAUGCAAAAAAUAAAGAACUAGUAUUUUUAGGGUCUGAAGCAGACUAUAAUCUCCAGUGGUUCCAGCUCUGUUGAUGAACAGAAGAAAGAGAAUGUGCCCGUCAAAUCAAACGAUGGCAUGAGGGGAAUAGUCGUCUGCGCAAAAAGAAUGGGAAACUUUUGAAGAAAAUACAAAUUUUGAAGGACAAAAAUAAUCAAAAAGACAGCAAAUAUAUUUAUCAUCUUUAUAUAUUGCAAAAUCAGUCAAAGGAAAAGUCCCAAGAGUGUGAAAACAUUGACGAAAAAGUAAAAGUUAUUUUCACCAGUGGACAAAUUAAUAAAAUUAAGAUGAAAUAAAUUAAGACGAGAGAAAGCAUCAAGAAUCGAUUGCAGCAACAAAGUAAAAAAGUUGUUCUUCCGGGCUAGAAUGUUUUUUUUUUUAAUAAGGAUGUUAAACAAAGAAUUAGAAGUAUCCAUCCACAAAAGGAAAAGUAAAUUUAAUAUUGUCAAAUAGUUUGAGUUUUAUAGAAUUAAUUAAUUUAUUUUUAUAGUUAUAUAAAAACUAUUACUAAUGUAAGAAUUAAUUCUUAUUCUAUAUAUUUACGAACAAUAAAAGAAAGCAGAAACAUCGUAA